rnacentral:rRNA from 1 species
GACGAACGCUGGCGGUAUGCUUAACACAUGCAAGUCGAACGAGACGAGAUGGAAGGAUCCUUCGGGUGACGGAAAUCUUACGAAAGUGGCGAACGGGUGAGUAACGCGUGGGUAACCUGCCCUAUGGAAAGGAUAGCCUCGGGAAACUGGGAGUAAUGCCUUAUAAUACAUUGAAGUCGCAUGGCUUUGAUGUUAAACGCUCCGGUGCCAUAGGAUGGACCCG